UACGUGGGGGGCAAGCGUUGUCCGGAUUUAUUGGGCGUAAAGAGCGUGUAGGCGGCCUGACAAGUCUGCUGUGAAAACUCGAGGCUCAACCUCGAGAUGUCGGCGGAAACUGUCUGGCUAGAGUCCGGAAGAGGAGAGUGGAAUUCCUGGUGUAGCGGUGAAAUGCGCAGAUAUCAGGAAGAACACCUAUGGCGAAGGCAGCUCUCUGGGACGGUACUGACGCUGAGACGCGAAAGCGUGGGGAGCGAACAGG
rnacentral:rRNA from 1 species